rnacentral:lncRNA from 1 species
GGAAUGGUCAAUAUAACCUCACGGAGUCAGGAGAUGGAACGUCUAGAGUGCCUAUCUAAGAGUAGAGGCAACAGAUGGUAGGAAUGAUCCAAGACUGAAGAUUGGCAGGACAAGUUUGAUGGUAGAAAGAGCCUCCAACUUACCUGUGCUUAUUUUGACUGAUGAACUGGGAUGCUCUUCUUUUUUAAAUCUUUUGCCUCCCAGAAGACCCCGAGUUCUCAGAGUCCUUG